GGGUGUGAGAGUGAUCUGGCUGAAACAUCUGCCAUUCCAUUGAUUGCCAGGCUGGCUUCAUUAGUUCUGGCUGACUAGGCUAGGGUCUCCUUCUUCCUUACCUCUCC
rnacentral:sRNA from 1 species